GUAUCAUCCAAAACCUGACUGCAGUGUGACAUUCCACAAACUACUAAUCUCCUUGGAAUCACUUCAAGUGUGUGUGUGUGUGUGUGUGUGUGUGUAUAUACACACACACACACACACACACACACACACACACACACACACACACACACACACACACACACUUGAAGUGAUUCCAAGGAGAUUAGUAGUUUGUGGAAUGUCACACUACUAAUUCUAAUUCAUUUACUUUCAAGCUAUCCCAUUUGUGGCAUAUUGCCUUAAUUCUUUAUUUCAAGUAAAUUGUUAUGUCUAAAAAGACCAAGUUUCAACCAAUAACUCUGGCAAUCGUCCCCUCUCUGGCCUGCUCAGGAACAUGACAAAUAGUUUAAUAGUCAAAUGACCUAAACACAGGGUAUUAAUGAAUGUUCUCCGCAGUAAAUUAGCCAGUUCUACAGAGAUCGGACAGAUAAAAUCAGUUUGGCCAGAUCAUCCCUGAUCACUUAACUCCCUGGUUAGGGGGGCAAUAAAACAAUUAGACACAUGUUAGAUGUAUGAAGGUGUCAAAUAUUUGCCAUUUGAAAUAAGUUCACUGCAGUAAUGCAGGGUUUGUAGAAAGAUUAUUAAUUAGUAAAGUUAUAUUGUGAAAUAAAUUCACUGUCUCUCUUUAGGCCUUAAACUGGCAUAUUAGCUUGACCUCACAUAUUUUUCUCUCCCUCUAGGUGUGGAAGUAUCCCCAAAGAAUGUAUCAAAAGCUUCACAUCCUGGAUACUGUGUCCAUGGUUGACAGAAAUGUUCUCCAAACAGAUUUCUGUUAAUACCCUGUGUCUUUCAUCCCCUUCAAUUUUUUUUUUUUCCCCUUUUUCUCUCAAAGCUGUUAAAUCUGAUUUGUUAUUAUGAAUUUUGUUUUAGCCUCAUUAAUGCAUGCAACUUGGUCUUAAAAGCUAGCAAAC